UACAGAGGUCUCAAGCGUUGUUCGGAUUCAUUGGGCGUAAAGGGUGCGUAGACGGGUCUUUAAGUCAGGGGUGAAAUCCUGGAGCUCAACUCCAGAACUGCCUUUGAUACUGAAGAUCUUGAGUUCGGGAGAGGUGAGUGGAACUGCGAGUGUAGAGGUGAAAUUCGUAGAUAUUCGCAAGAACACCAGUGGCGAAGGCGGCUCACUGGCCCGAUACUGACGCUGAGGCACGAAAGCGUGGGGAGCAAACAGG
rnacentral:rRNA from 1 species